CCGUUGCCGGCGACCGGCGCACGGGUGAGUAACACGUAUGCAACCUGCCCGUGGCAGGGGGAUAAGCGGGGGAAACCCCGUCUAAUACCGCGUAACGCGGCCUAGGGACAUCCCAAGGCCGCCAAAGGGAGCAAUCCCGGCCACGGAUGGGCAUGCGGCGCAUUAGCUAGUCGGCGGGGUAACGGCCCACCGAGGCGACGAUGCGUAGGGGUUCUGAGAGGAAGGCCCCCCACACUGGUACUGAGACACGGACCAGACUCCUACGGGAGGCAGCAG
rnacentral:rRNA from 1 species